ACAAGAGUCGGCUCACCGAACAGACAAAGAAUGCCCAUCACUGCGUCCAUGAACCUCUUAGUGCGAGACCCUGGGCUCCGCUAUGCAGACUGGUGCACGACCCACUGCCCCGAAUAGAGAUAUCCUGUUAGGAUGUUGGCGCUUUUCAUCCGUUCCACAAAGCGAUGCCCUCUGGCAGGAAUUGAAUAAAACCACGCUUUCGCUGGACUGUAGGCAGAGGG